UACGGAGGGUGCAAGCGUUAUCCGGAUUUACUGGGUUUAAAGGGUGUGUAGGCGGACUGAUAAGUCAGGGGUGAAAUCCCGAAGCUCAACUUCGGAACUGCCUUUGAUACUAUUGGUCUUGAAUUAUGAUGAGGUUGGCGGAAUAUGACAUGUAGCGGUGAAAUGCAUAGAUAUGUCAUAGAACACCGAUUGCGAAGGCAGCUGACUAAACAUAUAUUGACGCUGAGGCACGAAAGCGUGGGGAUCAAACAGG
rnacentral:rRNA from 1 species